GCCCAAGUAGCUCACUCGGUAGAGCAGAAGACUGAAAAUCUUCGUGUCGGCAUCGCAGCCAUGCUGCGUGGGCA
rnacentral:tRNA from 1 species